AAAGUACUCCCUCCGUUCGGAAUUACUUAUCGCAGGAAUGAAUGUAUCUAGACAUAUUUUAAUUAUAGAUAUAUCCAUUUCCGAGACAAGUAAUUCCGAACGGAGGGAAUAUAAU
rfam:Triticum aestivum genome assembly, contig: Triticum_aestivum_CS42_TGACv1_scaffold_591966_7BS